rnacentral:rRNA from 1 species
UAGGGAAUAUUGGGCAAUGGGCGAGAGCCUGACCCAGCCAUGCCGCGUGCAGGAUGAAGGCUUUCUGAGUCGUAAACUGCUUUUGCCAGGGAAGAAUAAGGGGGAUGCGUCCUCCGACGACGGUACCUGGUGAAUAAGCACCGGCUAACUCCGUGCCAGCAGCCGCGGUAAUACGGAGGGUGCAAGCGUUGUCCGGAUUUAUUGGGUUUAAAGGGUGCGUAGGCGGUUCUUUAAGUCCGGGGUGAAAGCCCACUGCUCAACAGUGGAACUGCCCUGGAAACUGGCGAACUUGAGUACAGACGAGGGCGGCGGAAUGGAUGCUGUAGCGGUGAAAUGCAUAGAUAGCAUCCAGAACCCCGAUUGCGAAGGCAGCUGCCUAGACUGUAACUGACGCUGAGGCACGAAAGCGUGGGGAGCGAACAG